GCCCCGCCCUGGCUGGCCCCGCCCCCCGCCGCCGCGCAGGGCUGCCCGAGGCACUGCCUGAACGCAACGGGGAGACGCGGCGCGGAACACGUGCCCAAAGGACAAACCAACGCCCGCAGAGGCGUCACGUGUGCAGUUCUCCCUUCGACGGGGUCAUUUAUUGCCAGCCUACCGUACAACAGGCCUUACAUAGACACCUAAAGGCACCCGCGGUGGGCGAGGUGCCCGCCGAUGACGUAUUAUUCAGGCGCCCGCCAGAGUGGAAGGACCCCCGCGUCCCGGUUCAUGCUUCUGAGAAUGAACACCUUGCCCAGGAGAGCGGCUGCCCAGCCCCGCCUCGGCCCACCGAGGGUCCCCGGCUGCGGCCCUCCUUCUCCUCCGCCACUGGUCUCCUUGUGCAUCGGUGCGUGGACUGGAUGACCGAUGACGGCGAGAUGGUGGCCCUGGACUGAGACUUGGCAACAAGGCAAACAUCAGACGUGGCUUCCAGGAUCCUCUGUGCCUGCCGUCCCCCCACCCACCCCCAACACACACACGUUGCCCUCUCCCCGGGGCAGUGGGCUCCCCACACAGCAGUGCUGUCAUUCUUUUCUGCGGCCCCCACUCCUUCUCAGGGCCUGGGGCCAGGGCGCUGCUGGCGAAAGGGCAUCUUGCUUUUCCAUAGGAAAAGCAGCGUUUAUGUGUGGCUUGAGCUAGAACCCCGCUAUGAACCAGAACUGUGCCCCCAGGGAGUUCUCUGAGCUUUUGGUCUUUCUGUAGGUGCUCAGCUCCCUCCCCAAAGACAAGGCGGGAAAGGAGGAGGCAGGGCAGAGUGGGCCCUGUGGGGACCGUCUUCAGAGACCCGGCGCCAGGGCCUCAGGACGUGGCCACGGCCCCAGCAGAAACACACUGCUUGUGCGACUUGGAAGUGGACAUCUUUGGAAGGCCUCAGAAGGCAGGACUAAGACGGUUCCGCGAUUCCUCUUCUUUUGCUGCUGUGAACAGACGUCCUCUGGGACGCUUGCUUCAGAACAGGGAUUUCAAGACAGCGCUGACCACGAGACACCAACAGAAGGCAGCCAUGUCAGUGACAAGGGGUCCCCAGCCUCACGACCUCUUCUGAGGCUUCAGAGUCUUAGGAUUUCAAUGCCUCAAGUUCACUCCAGUUCUCAAACACGCUGUCCUCUUGGUCCACAGUGAGGCGCACGGUCUCCGGCUGGAGAUGCAGAAAAACACCGCACCACCAUUCCUUGUGGUUCUUGCCGAAGAUAAAUGAGAAAGUGUACUCAGCAUACCUUAUCCAGAGCUGUGUAGCUACAACACACAGUGUGAACAAUCGAAGUUAUUUCAACAAAUGGUGUUGUGACCGUUGGACAUCCUAAUGGAAAAUGGAAUCUUCCAUCGUCUAAAAGGAGGAUCUCGGAGUGUAUCACUAACCUGGAUUUGUGAGACUUAGCACUAGAAAACUUCUAGAAGAAGACAGGAAGAAAUAUCGACGACUUUGGGUUAGGCAAAGAAAUCUCAGAUUUGACACCCAAAGCACAAUUCAUAAAACUAAAAAAAAAAAAAAAUGGUAAAUUAGACUUCAUCCAAACAGCUCUGCUCUGCUCUGUGAAAGGGGAUGUCGUGAGAAAAUGUCUGUAUACCUGAUCAUCAAACUGGGAGAACUAGUGUGAUGUGAUCAAAGUGGGCCCUGAACAAGACGCUGGGGUGGCAGAGUCACACAAAGAAAGAGGCACCACCAUCAGUCCAACAGGGAAAAACCAAGUAAAACUGUGACGAGAGACCAACGCCUUCCCAUCAGAACUGCUCAGGCGAAACACGGGCAGGACCUGGGGACCCAGCAGCCCCAGACGGCUCAGCAAGGCGGACUCACGGGGAGGCGGUGCACCAGGCUCAGAGGACUGUGCCCAGGACACUGGGCGGUGCCUUGGGAGCAAGGGCUCUUGGACCAGAGUCCAUCCCUGCUAGAAAGAACUCAGCGGAAGGAACGGUGUGCCUGGGAAGGGUGACGCCCCCGAGUCUUCCCUGCCACCAGCAGGAGGGGCACCUGAAGGAGCUUAGUCCAGCACCAAGAAAUGAUGAGGCUGCAGCUGCCUGUGAGAUCUGGUGGUGUUGUGUGAACCCUCGCUCCCUGCAUCAUCAGCACACCAGGGAGUAGCUGGAAGUCAGAAAGAACACUCUUUCCACAAUCAAAUCACUGGGAGUUCAGAAACCUUCUCCCUGCUCACCACAGCCCCUGGUCAGGAGGACCGCUCCCACGUGCUGCCCACGCCAGUUCCCGUGGCGGACAUGGUCGGGACGGACAGUGGCAGGAACACCAUGAACUCUGUCUUUUUAAUGAAGGAGCAGAGGGGCUGGUGCUCCGGUUAAGCCGCUGCGUGGGACACCGCAUCCUACAUGGAGCUUCAGUUCUGGUCCUGGCUGCUCCGAUUCUGACCCAGCUCCCUGCCAGUGCGCCGGGAAAGGCAGCAGAUGGGGGCUUAAGUUUUGCAGUCCAGAUGGAGCUCCAGGAUCCUGGCUUCAGACUGGCCCAGCUCGGGGCCCAGCCACCUGCCACUUGACGUCCCGGAGCCCUGAUCUUAUCACUGAGAGAGGAAGGGGAUGUAGUGCAUCCUGCCCAGGUGCCCUGCAGCACGAGGAUCAGAUGAGCGGGUGCGAUGAAAUGCAGACGGGCCUCCAAUGGCAAAUGUGUGGUUGAAUGGAACCAGGAUUCAGGAAAUGGUGUUGCUUUGUGCUUGAGCACCAAAGGGUCUUUAAAUGUUUAUUUGUUUUCACUUGGAAGGUUGAGUGACAAGCGAGAGCACUUCCAUCUGCUGGUUCACUCCCCAAAUGCCCAUGACAGAGCCAGGGCUGGGCCAGGCUGAAGCCAGGAACCAGGAGCCCCAUCCUGCACCCCAGGAUGCGUUGGCGGGAGGCUGGACUGGGGUAUUUGUAAGGACACUGAGGGACCUCAUGGUGUAGCAUGGUGGUUCUCACCCAACAUCGUUUCAGAAUUCAUUGCUGAUUCUGGUGAAUUUUGUUGUGACGACGUUUGCUGAGACAUGCAGAGCAAGGAGACCUCCCUGUCAGACCACGCUAGCGUCUCCACGUCCUUAGAAACCUCGGGGAGGGAGAUGUUUCUCAAGUACACGAAACCGAGCAAACACCAGCCCUGCUAGUGUUUCUGUGACUGUAUCUCUCCAGUGGCCAAACCACCAGACACCAAUAACAGCUAGUUUUUCCUGGCAGACCAUGGACCUGGAGAGUUUCAACUGAACAAGUUUAGUUGUGCAGAUGUAUCCAGCAGAGACAUUUUAUGUCAAAACAAGAAACAAAAGGGUCUUGUCUCACGCAUUGCCACGCAGUCGGAGCUUAAGCAGCUGGGCCUUGCUAGUUGCAAACAGCACUAGUGUGAUAAGAAGAAGCUUAACGGGCGUGUCCGGGCCCCACGCAUGACUCAGAGUGCGCCACGAGGGUUCCCUCCUUACUUUUCACAGCGAACCCUUGGUUAGGGUGCAGCUACGACACCCACUUCAUAAAACAGGUGAUGUCCGCCACCGUGCUUCCUCAGCACUGCCUUCCAUCCGGUUGGAGCUGACCCCACAGGCUGAUGCCUGGUAGCUCACUCUGUCUAUCAUCUAUCUAUCUAUCUAUCUAUCCAUCCAUCCAUCCAUCCAUCCAUUUAUCCACCUAUCAAUCAUCUACCGUCCAUUCCAGUCAUCUAUCUUAUCUAUCCAUCCGUCUAUCUCAGCCCUCUAUCUGUAUCAAUUAUUUCCUAUCAUCUAUCCACCCACCAUCCAUACACUUACAGUUAGCUGCUUUUGAUGUUGUAACGAUGCCUGCAGGUGAAACAGUGGCAAUGGAGGAAGAGUUCCAGGUGGGCCAGUCAGGCCCCGGUCCCCACUGGGGAAAAGUCCGGGAGGAUGUCCGGUCCCCUCUGGGGAAAAGUCCGGGAGGAUGUGGGGGAGGACCUGCGGCCUGUUGUGUUUGGGCUCUGCCUGUGUUCAGCAGGAGUGCGGAUGGUAAGCUGUUUGUUGUGCGGAUCCCAGUCUCUCACCUGCCCCUCCACCCUCAAUAUCGCCCUUCGGAAGGGGCGCAGGCUGGGAUGGCACAGCCUGCUAUGGUGGGUGUGCGGGAAGUUUGGAAAGCAGCUCAGUGGAAGCUCUUUGUCCCCAGCCGCCAGGCAGGAGGGCGGGGUCUGCGCAGAGUCCUCAGAAGGGGGGAACUGCGGGCAGGAGUUCCCGACAGGGCACAUGUGGGGUUCCCGGCACGAGCCAGGCUUGCCUCGCCAGCCCAAAGUCUGGGCUUCUCCCCAGUCAUUGGACGUGAGCACGGGGCUUCUGUCCUGUUACUCCUAAACGUUUGAAACAACAAAAAUAGAAAAAAAUAACGAUACAGAUAGAUACAGUAGACCCCAGCGAGAGCAGAGCAAAUGCCCGGCCGUGAGACCCUGCGGGUGCGGCGUGGUGAAGGCUGAGGGCAGCGCAGGGGGCUGCGCGGGGCCGACGUGCUCGGGGGCUCGGGAGAGGCCAGGGCCCCUGCGCGCAGGUGAGGACAAAGAGCAGCUCACGGGAGAAAGAAAAACGCGGGGAGAAGUCGCAGACUCGGAGAAGCACCGGGCCUGCUUCUGCAGGCGAGGCCUUCGGGGACAACGCUAGAAGUUACAGACAAACUGGAAAGGCACUGUGCGUUCCCAGGAGAGACUUGCUUUCCACAAACUCCGUGAGGGCCCUGGGGGGCAGUCCUGCAGCACAAAGUGAAAAUGCACGGCUCCAACCCAGGGUGGUAGCACCUAGGCGCACCUGCCCCGCCGUGGAGCUGUGUGGCCGCACUUCCAGCAGGGACAGCGCCAUGGCUGUGGGGAACUCAGAGCGAGCCCUCGCGUGCCUGUGUGCCUGGCGCUGUGGGGAGCUCGCCGUGCAGGGCAAGCGAUCCCCGGUGGGCUGCAGCAGGAGGUGAGACCCAGGGCAAACCAAGCAUUUGUCACAGGCAGGGGAGAAGAAGGCCACGCAAGCCUCCCACAGCUCUACAGCCGCGCCCCAGCCCCAGGCCAGCUGGGACCGGCGGCCGCCAAGAAGAUGGCAAAUGAGCACACAAAUAGGGGUUCCCUCACUGGGGGGAUGAAAGAGACCCGAGAUGUUUAUAGCCCAGACAGAUACCGAGUGCUGAUUUAUGAAGGCCACGGCAGCCUGGGAAGCCCAUGCAUCACGCAUCCUGACAACAGCCGCGGCCUGUCGUGAGGCCCUCAGAGCACAGUGCCUGGGAAAGUUCACGGGAGCUGGGAAGCGGAGCAUGGGCACGAAUCAAGAAAAAUCCCACCGUGAGGACAAUUGCGGGAUGCUUGCACAGCAGCUUGGGCAGCGUUGCAUUUCCCUUGGAAACUCAGGAGGCGGCGCUGGAGUUCCCUCCGUGCGACCAGGAAGCCUCCAGGGAUCUCGCCCCCACUGCAGACGGAGCCCAGCAACCCACAGCGUGCUUCCUCCUCCUCGUCCUCACCCUCCGACCCCAGAGUUCACGCAGCUGAACGUGCUGUGACCCCGGAGGGGGUCAGGUUAGCCCACUGCCCUGCUUUCUGGUGUCUUUCCCCUCCUUUUUUUUUUUUUUUUUUAAAUUCAUGUAUUGAUUUGAGAGGCAGAGUUAUACAGAGAGAGAGAAAAGGAGAGACAGAGAGGUAUUCCAUCUGCUGGUUCACUCCUUAAAUGGCUACAACGGCUGGAGCUGGGUCAGUGUGAAGCCAGGAGCCAGGAGCUUCUUCCAGGUCUCCCACGCGGAGGACCGAGGCCCGAGGACUUGGGCCAUCUUCCACUGCUUUCCCAGGCCAUAGCAGAGAGCUGGAUCGGAAGUGGAGCAGCCGGGACCUGAACCCGCGUCCAUGUGGGACGCCAGCAUUGGAGGCAGAGGCUUUGCCCGCUCUGCCACAGCGCCGGCCCCUGUUGUCCCUCUCCCAGCAUCCUCCUGAUGCCAGGGCGGCCCUAUGCGUUCUUUCCCUUCUCCGCGUCGCUCAGUGUCGUCCCUGCUUCCCCGUCUCAGGCUGGACGGUGCGCAUGAACUCACCAAGACUUGACCCCACGGAGCGUCCUUGGCUUCCUGUGGACAGUGAGCCACCCCCAUAGGGGUCAGCCCUUGGGGCCUGGGGGGAGGCCCCUUUCGCCCUCCAGCCGUCUCUCUUUUCUUCCCCGACGAGGUCUCCGGGCGGCUCCUACGCAUGGCCACUGACCGCAGGAAUUUGGGGUUUCUGAGCACACGGUGGGGGAGACACUGGUUGCUUUCUGGACCCACACAUCGGAGGAAGCCUAGUUCUGUUGGCCGUUGACUUUGGCGAGGGGGUCAUUUAAAUUCGUCAGACCUCAGUCUUCUGAGUACAAGGUGACCAAGCUGCCUGUCUGAGUUCUGCUUCUUAAGUGUCUUCCAUGAACGCAGUCGCUGUCCUGCAGCAUCAAAUGAAGGAAGCCACACGGCGCAAGGUCACCCAGGGCGGCGCCAUCGGCAUGGGCUCGGCUUCCACCGAUGCCAUCGCUGCUGUUAUUUCUAAGUGUGGGAUGCGUGUGAGCGCGCACGUGAGCGGAGCCGUCCCUCCUCCCAGGUGUCACCUCAGACACUCGCACAGCUGGCUCCAGCUUAGAUGCCUCCUCGCUGCUCAGGUCGUCCUAACACAGGCUGUGCUGCGGCCUGGAGAGGAGACAUUCGCCUGGCCAUGACGGGCCACCCCACCAGCAGCAGGGAGGACAGUGGAGCCUCAGGGCGGGGUGGGGGUGGGGGUGGAAACCAGAGCACCUGUUCGUCAGAACCCCUCUCGCAGGCAGUAGGCGGGAGCUGUGUCACUUCCAGCAAGAGACAGCCGCAGGGGGGAAAUGUUUGACCAAACAGGAAGUAUAAAUUCUUCAAAAACGCUCAGCACUUACGCUGUCCAGCUGCCAUCCUGAGCGUGCAGCCAGUCGGUUCUGUCUUCUGUCCCCGUUCAGUCACCACGGGGAGCCUAGGCCCUCCACCUCUGUGUGGGCUCCAAACCUGGCGCCAUCCUUGGCCCGGCUCCUGCUCACACGCACGUCCCAUCCAUCAGCAAGCCUCCUGAUUGCAUCCAGGCCCAGUUCCUCUCACCCACCCCCCUCCACCACCCUGGGCCACUCUGCCGUCUGCAUUGUCGUGGCCGCUCCUAUGGUUGUCUUGGGCACCACCCAUCAUUCCCGGCAUCUGUGCUGCCCAGAGCUGCCAGGAUGUUCCUCCAGACCACAGCCCCCUGUGCCCACCACCCCACACUCCCGGCUCAGCAGGACUUGGGGGCCUCCUGGUCCCCUCACCCACCUCCUGGAGGCUUUGCGCCUCCUUAGCAGGACCCUGCUCCAGGGGCUUUGCCCUGCUGUCCCUGACCUCAGCCCACUGUUCUUCCCCGCUGUGUCCUGGCUGUGUCUUCCUCUCUCCGCACUGCCCCAGUGCGGCGUCUUCUGCCGUGUAGCAUUUCUCUGCAUUAGCACUUGCAGCCCGGGGCCUACUGUCUGUGUGUUGCGUGUGUGUGUGUGUGUGUGUUCCCCAGGGUCUCUGUAACAAAACACCAAAGAUGGGGGCUUCAGCCUCGGACAAGAACCCUCUCUGGGCUGGCGGCUCGAUGCCCCAGGUCCAGCUCCUGCUGGGCAGCUUCCUUCUGGGGGAGGGGGAGGGAAGUGGCCUGGCCUCUGCCAGUUUGCUGGUGACCGCGGUGUCUGUGCACCGCCAUCUCCACGUGGUCUCCACGUGGCAGCCUUCACAGGUGCGUCCUGUCCACGUGCCCCGUCCUAUAAGGACAACAGGCACACUGCACAGACUCCACCCCAACAGCUCCAGGUAGACACGAAGACCUCUGCAAACCCCUGUUUCCAAGAAGGCCGCGUUCUGAGGGGCACACAGGCUUCGGGGGACUAGACUCACACCUGGAGCAAAACACACCAAAGAGGGGGCUGAACUCAUGUAGCAACGUGCAGAAUAGCGGCAGCCAAGCAGUGUCUUCAAGACAAAUCUCAGAGAAGUACACGCAUAAGGCCGAGUGUGGAUAUGUAGGAGAGUGUGUACUUGUUCAUGUGUGUGCAUGCCACAUGUGUUGUGAACGUGUGCGUGUGUGUGUGCACGAGUGCACUGUGCUGUGAAGUGUGUGAGCGUGUGCACUGUACAUGAGAGCAUCAGGAGCCCAGUGUGCACACAUGUGCAUGUGCACACAUGCGCCUGCCCUGCGCAUUGCGUAUCUGUGCACGUGUGUUUGAAUGUGAAGUUCAGGGGACUGAAGGGUGCCGAGGGUUUAUCUCUGGAAGCUGAAACAGUGUGGUAAGGAGGACUUCCCACAGUUUGAUCUGAAGCUUCAGUUAGCUACAUCUUUUUGUUUUUGAAGAUGUAUUUUAUUUAUUUGAAAGGCAGAGUUACAGGGAGAGGUAGAGGCAGAGAGAGAGAGAGGUCUUCUGUCUGCUGGUUCACUCCCCACAUGGCCACAAUGACUGGGGCUGGGCCAGGCAGAAGCCAGGAGCUUCUUCUGGGUCUCCCACAUGGGUACAGGGGCCCAAGCACUUGGGCCAUCUUCCACUGCUUUCCCAGGCCAUUAGCACAGAGUUAGAUCAGAAGAGGAGCAGCCGGGACUCGAACCAGUGCCCACAUGGGAUGCCGGCACCACAGCGUCAGCCCCGUCAGUUAGCUACAUCCUUUCCAGUAAGAAUUCAUGCAUACGUCAUUGUGGUUUUGUUUCAGAAAGAUAAAUGCGGGAAUGAGUGGACAGCAGAGGUUCAGCCCAGCCCCGAAGCUUUCCCAGGGCUGAUUUCAGGAAGGAGACCAGCAGGUGGGGCUUGCCAGGUCACGACCAGCCUGCCCCGGGUUCAGGGCUCCAUGGUCCCCUGAGGAGCCCUCGCUUCAGGUCCAGAGCUGUGUGUGUCAGGUUCUCGGCCCUCACACAGGUUUGAAGCCUACUUAGAGCUGGGCCAACAGAGCCUGCUCUUCGGAAAGUGCAAUGGCUCCCCCAGGCAAUGUUGAAACAGAGCCUGGGGCUUAUCGGAGGCUCAGGGUCAGAGCUGUCUUCCUGGAGGACCUCCCUCCUGCCUCAGCCCCAUAGACGGCCCCCGGGGCUUCCCCAGAGUGGGCAGGGAAGGGGUCUCUGGUGCCCUCACCCAGCGGGGAGUCCUCCACCCCCGGGCUGGUUGCUUGGCCUGCCCUGGGCAUCACUGGCUCGGGCAGAGGAUCGUGAAGCAGAGAGCAGCAGGUGCGGGGACAGUUUGGGAGGGAGAUCCGCUCUCGGUUUAUGUGCGCCUGAUAACACCUGUUGGCCUCCAAACAGGUAAAGCAGACUGCUGAAGUAGCGGCCGGACACCCCAUGGCGGUGGGAGACACUGAGGAGGGGCGGCGACAGCAGCCAGAGCCAGAGCCGCUUCUGGGAGUCACCACAGUUCUGGGGACGGCGAGUGCCAAGUGCCGAGCUGACAGUGUCCUCAGGGAGGUGGGCAGGGCUUAGCACGGAAGCUGGGCAGCUCAGACGUCUUCCUCAAGGGCCCACCGAUAUGUUCUCACACGGCAGAGGUGUGAUAAGCCUGGUUUUGUGGGUGUGAAAAGAUUAGUGUGUGUGUGUGUGUGUGUGACUAACAGAACACCCACUGCCCGAGAUGUUCCAGGAGAAAGGGAGUGCCCACGGCCAUAGUCACGGCAGUGCCCCUGUAGCCGGGAGUGGGCGCUCUCUGAGCCCAGGACCCCGAGUCCAGAUGGUCUGGACUUUUCGCUCAUGGGUCUUGGCUGAGGUAUUGUCUUAGGGCUGUGCUGGGCGCUAUGCACCUGCUCCCUAGUGAGCCCCCGUGUGAGCAGCCCUCUCCUACGUCCGCAUUGUUCCUCUCUAUCAUCUCGGAGGGCUGGGGUGGUCCGGGGAACGCCCUCCAGGACGGCAGGUGCCAACCCUGGAACUUGUGACUGUUGCCUCUUGUGGCUGGAGGAAAUCUGUUGGGAGAAUUCGGCUGGAUUGCUGCAGUAGCCCCCAGUGUGAUGACCAGGGGUGUUGGAGAGCUGGGCGGAGCGAUUCCGGACCACAGAGGAAGGCAGUGGAGGCACAGAGCAGGGAGUGAUUUGAAGAGCUUGGCUGUGAGGCAGUGGCAAGCGGGGGAUGCCAGCAGACCCUGGUGACUGCAGGAAGCAGGUGAUAGUGGGAGAAGCCAGGAGGCCGGUGACAGCAGCCACAUGAGGGCCCACGGCGGGGACGUAGCCCGGGGGGUGGAGUCGGGAAGCAGUGUGGUUCUGUGCCCCCCUGUGCAGCCCAGCCUGGAGGACUCGGCAGGGCCGUGCUGGGUGCUGCGUGGCCCUAGCCUGGAGCUCUUCACUGGAGCUAGUGAGCGGAUCCAGGAGUCUGAGCCCAGCUACCGAGGCAGCGCGGGAGCUAGAUGAGGGCAGACGUGGGGACCGAGACAUCUCAGGACUCCUGGGGGAACGUGUAGUGCUCAAAACCUUUUCGUCUGUCCAAGUUCGUUCCCCGCCGGGAGCCCCUUCCCAGGAAUCAGCCUGCUGGAGCUCGCCUGCUCCUUGUCUCCCAGGGUGCCCCUCGCUGCCUGCCUUCCGGGCCCCACGGGCAGCGAUGUGGGAGCCUGGUCCACUCCAGCAGGCCCUGGAAUCUUCCCCUUGUGGCCCCGAGGCCUUCUGAGGUGCUGGCCUCUAAUGUUCCUUCCAGGAGAGGUGGGGGUACUUAGUGGGGGCCAGGAAGCCCAGAGCGGCCGCACCCGGCACAGCCCUGCAGAGGAACCCAUUGGAACAGAAGAGGGUCUGCAUCCUCCGAGCGGACAGACGGCACUUCCAAGGCAGCUCAGGAGCCCAGAGCCUAUUCUGCAUCAGGGGAAGGGGAGGGGACACCUUCUACCCGAUAGCCCUGUAGUCUGGAAGGGCGUCAUUCCACACCUGAGGCCCGGGAAGGGUGACGCUGGGUGACGGGGUCCCAUGACACCUACGCAUGGGUGGCCACAGCGCUGGAGGAAGGCGCGCCCCUGCUGGCCCUCUAAGAUGUGGGAGCUGCUGACUCCAGGGCUCUCUGUGCGGCUGCGACAGCACCCUGUAGACGAGGGCUUGGACCGCAGCCACGCGUUUCCAAUAGUUUCGGAGACUGGGAAGUCCAAGUUCAAGGCUUUCCCGCGUUUCAUGUCUGAUGGGAGCUUGUUCCCUGGCUCGUAGCGGUGGCCCUCUCACUGUGACCCCACAGGGGACGGGGUGAGGGAGCUCCCUGGGGGUCCCUACAUCAGGGCCACCGUCGCUUCCAUGCAGGCUCUGCCUCCUGCCCCAACCCCCCCCUCCCUGCCCCAGUGCCAUUGCCCUGGGGACUAGGUUUCAGCAGUGAGUUGGAGACAGUGCAAGCAUUGAGAUCAGAGCCACAGAGAGCCUUUGUUUAGCCCACACAGCGUUUACUUGUUGGAAAAACUUUUGAAUGCUUUCCCCUGAACUAUGCGCACUCUGGUUUGCCACAGUCUCCCCAGCAGCUGAUUCCACUCAGUUCUGCCCGCUCUGCGGAUUCAGAACCUUCCCGGGGUCCUACAGGUGGUCGCGUGGGAAGGGACUGCUCUUACCGAAAUGAUCAUUUGCUAUGGAAGAAGCUGUGGUACAAAAAGCCAAUGCAGGCUCCGUUCGCAGAAUGCAUCUGGCGCGACAGCAGCGCCUGGUUGACCCGUUAUCUGCAGGCUUGGAUGCUCACAGCUGAUGCGCGAAGCCGCUGUGAGACUGUUUGAAGAUUUACCCAGGUUUAUUUGUCUGUAGUGCGGCGUGGACUUUGCGUUUGCUUAAUAGCCUCACGGUUUUAUUAUAGAGUAAUCUGAAAUGUAGAACAAAACUUGGUGAAAACUUGGAGUCCCUUGAGGAGCACCUGGGCCCCUCCUAUUUCUUUUGAAAGAACAAACACAGCGGACCCCCAUGUUUUCCCUUGUAAUCUUUCCUGUGAACACAGGAGAGGGAGUGCCUUCCAGAACUUCUACCCCCUGCCUCUGCGGCACUGAGAAGGUAUUCCCUGGGCCGCUAGGCUGUGCCUGAUUGGAUGACCUCUAAUGUGUGCAAAUCACCUGGUGCGGUCAGGAGUGAUGGAACGGGCCUGCCUCGGGUGCAGAUUCUGCAGGUGCAGCCAUCUGGGGUCUACCUGGGAAGGACGCCUCCACCUGCGCUGGAGUGCGUGGAUAUCGAGCCACGGCUGAUUGACAACGGGGCAACCGUGUGAGCGGAAGCAGAGACACAACGAGAGAAAGCAAAGCUUCAUGGGAGACCGCAGCUGGGACAGGCAAGAAGUGGGUCAGCACUGGGAGCCAACGGCCAUCAAGCCGCUUCUGACGUUAGCUCGAUGUCAACCAACGACAGCGUGGGGCGAGGGCAUUGGUGAAACGCAGAUGCUGGGUGGAAAGGACCAAAGUGUAUAUAUAAUACUAAUGGAAAAGAAGAGUGGCAGGUACUUAGCGCCCGCCCUUGGCAUCAGGGAGGUGCAGCCAGAGCCUUUUCCCGUUCAGCCCAGAGAGGUCUCCACCUUCUCCUUCACAUUCCUAGUUAUCCUCGCAGAAAUGGACAGAGGAUGGCGAGGAGACCCCUUUACAACUUCUGGAUUCAAAACAAGCGUCAUUUGUCCAAUCAGGAUUUAGCGGAUGCUCCCAGGAUGCCGGUUCUGUUCCAGGGUGGAUGAGCUGCCGUGGGCAAGACAGUGAGGCUCCCAUUCUGGGGCAGGAAUGCAGAUUGCACAGACAGCCACACCUGCUGUCAGGCGGCACCUGCCCUGAGACCGGCUGGGAGAACCCAGAGCCAAGCUUCGGGGCCAGAUGGACCCACUUCUGUCCCGGAGCCUCUGCUCUGAGUUGCUCGGCUGCUUUGUUGAUCUGACGGCUCUGGAAGCUAAGACGCCGGUGCUGUUUGGUAAACACCGACUCCUGUCGGUGAGCAGCACCUUCCUUGGUUCCCAGCUGGUGGUUUGUUAUCAGCAGUCCAGGCCCUCUGAUCGUUUACGUGGCCUAUAUCUCAAACACACUGUCUGAACUAGAAAGGAACAUAUGUGCUUCCACGUGUGAAAAAUUCUCUUUGUUUCUUUCUUCCCAAAGGAACUGGGGAUGCUCUUUCUUCAGCUGUUUUGGGGACUUUUGUUCUGGGUGGGCUCUUUUUUUUAAGAUUUAUUUAUUUAUUUGAAAGUCAGAGUUACACAGAGAGACAAAGAGAGGCAAAAAGAGAGAGAGGUCUUCCAUCCACUGGUUCACUCCCCAUUUGGCUGCAGUGGCCGGAGCUGCGCCAAUCCAAAGCCAGGAGCCAGGAGCCAGCAGCUUCUUCUGGGUUUUCCACAUAGGUGCCGGGGCCGAAAGACCUGGGUCAUCUUCCACUGCUUUCCAAGGACAUAGCAGAGAGCUGGAUUGGAGGUGGAGCAGCCAGGACUCGAACCAGCGCCCAUAUGGGAUGCUGGCACUGCAGGCGGCGGCUGUACCCACUACACCACAGCGCUGGCCCACCUGGGUGGGAUCUUGAUUGCCAUCUACUGCCUGCAAAACUCAGCUCCUCCAGUUCACCUUGAAAUGACUUGACUGCCUUCAGUCCGGGGUCGGUCAGAGGGUGGGACUGUGGACGUAGGCUCAGUUCCAGGAAGUGGCUUCUCUAUUGUGCAGUUCCACCAAGCGACGCCUGAGAGCGUUGGCCAACUGGCAGCACCCUGGCAAAGUGGGCCGUGGAGAAGAGAGCUUACCGUGGGUGGUGCCGGCUGAACACACUCCCUGGGACGUGAGCACUUGAAAGUGAACAGACAUUGGAGGAUAACUUCUGAGCCAAUGGCUGAAUGAUCUGGGGUGUUGUUACUGCUGUGUGUGUAUGUUUAAAAUUAAUUUCUUAUCUUCCCCAUCAAGAAUGAGUUGGUAAAAGGGACAAGGAGGACGGAUGGAUGAAAUGCAGGCUGGGUGAGUGCCAGGAGCUGGCCUGCCUGGCUGCCCUCCGCCCAGGCUUGGCACCGGGAAAGCAAACCAAAUACACUCCAGGAAAGCUGUGUGUUCAUGAGAAAUGCCGGCCUCCAGGGGCAGAUGUGAUAAAAUCUGUGCAAAUGCGGGGUUUAAAGAUGUUGCUUAGGCAAGAACAAUGGCUGGAUUUUUCCUGGGCAGGAUGUGUGGGUUGAAUGACUUUUUAUUUUAUUUUCUCUUAAUUUCCUGAAAAUGUAAGCAACAGUUGUGAGCCCCAAAGGCCCGAGGUGGGGGUGCAGCUGCACUCGUGCCUGGACGCACUCGGGGAGCUGAGAGGAUGCGGCCAGGGGAGGAUCAGGCUGUGGCUGUGCGGGGGUCAGGGGGUCUGGGCCUCCAGUCCCAGUGUCUGGGAGGGACCAUGGCUUGGGAGGGACGGACAGAUGGGCAUCCCAUGCUGGACUCUCGCCCCCGUGUUCAGGUGACUGCAAAGUGCUUUUCCACCUGCAGCCGGGCUGUGUCUGCGCGCAAAGACCCUUGUUGGGCAGGAAGAUGAGAACUUGGUGCUUUCAGGUUAGUGAGGGAGGGAGCGCCUUGAGGGGCCGAGGACGUGGGAUGAUUCUGACAAGGCCUCAGGAAGUGCCAGCCUCAGUGUCGCCUGAGGCCAGCAACGACCGUCCGAGGAGUACAGAGGCCCUGAGAAGCACACGCACCUCCGGGUGUCCCAGCCUGGCUGCGCACUGAGCACGUGCCCGUGACAGUGGGCGCUGGCAGCAGGCAGGUGUCAGGCGGGAGAGGAGAGGGAAGAGGCUCAUUUGAAGAGGGAAGAUCGCAGAGGGCCCGACAUCUGAGCUCGCGGUGUGUGAAGGAGUCCCUGAGGGAGGGUCAGCUGUGUCCUGGGAGCACACCGUGCCCGCUGAGCCCUCCGCACUGGGCUUCUGCGUCACGCCAGGCGUUGACCACUUUGGGGCGCUACAAAGGAGGAGGCAGAGAGACUCAUUUUCCUGCGACACUUCCCCUGUUGUCCCUGUCCUCCUGAGGGUUCCAGGUCAUCACUGCACCCGUCCACAGCUCAGGAGGCAUAAAUCUUCAUGACAUUUGACCAGCAAUCAUUUCUUUUUAAUUUUAUAGAUUUGUCUGUUUACCUGAAAGGCAGAUUAACAGAGAGAAAAAUCUUCCAUCCACUUGUUCACUCCCCAAAUGGCUGCAAUGACUGGAGCUGGGCUGAUCCAAAGCCAGGAACCAGGGCUUCCUCCAGGUCUCCCCUGUGGGCAAAGGGGCCCGAGCACUUGGGACAUUCUCCACUGCCUUCCCAGGUGGACCAACAGGGAGCUGGAUGGGAAGUGGAGCAGCUGGGACCUGAACUGGCACACAUAUGGGAUGCCGGCACUGUAGAUGGUGGCCUCACCUACUACGUGGUGGAGCUGACCCUGGGCAAUAAUUUCUUAAAGACGACAUGAAAAACAUAGGCAGCAGAAAGUAAAAUAAGUUGACCCUCAUCAAAGUGAACUUCUGUGGGCUGGCGUUGUGGCGUAGCAGGUAAAGCUGCCACCUUCGACACUGACAUCCCAUAUGGCUGUGGGCUCCAGGCCUGGCUGCUCCACUUCCAGCUCAGCUCCCUAAUGGCCUGGGAAAAGCAGCAGAAGAUGGCCCAGGUGUUUGGGCCCCUGACACCCAUGUGGGAGACCCGGAUGAAGCUCCUGGCUCCUGGCUUCAGCCUGGCCCAGCCCUGGCUAUUGUGGCCAUGUGGGGAGUGAACCAGUGAAUGGAAGACCUCUCUUUCCCUGCCCCCCCCACCAUAACUCUGACUUUCAAAUAAAUAAAUAAACAAUCUUUUAAAAGAUGAACUUUUGUUUUCCAAUGGACAGUAUCGAGAAAAUGAAAAAACUCACAGGGUGGGAGAAGACCUGUGAAUCAGGUACCUGAGAUGGCACUUGGUCUCUUAUAUAUAAAGAAAUCUACAGCUCAGCAAUCGAAGGAGACAAAACCCAACGACAAAGUUGACAGAGGACUUGCAGAGACAUUCAUUUAUCCAAACAGAGCAUGCAGACGUCUUAUUACUAUAUGCAAGGUGCUCAGUGUCACUAAUUAUUAGGGAGACGCACUUCAAACCACAGCAGUGCCUCUUCACACCCACCAGCACCGCCGCACCCACGCUGAGGGGUGCAGGACAAGGCGACCCGCGUGCCCGGCGGGGGGCGGGGAAAGCAGCCGAGCUCCCGUGGAAACGAGUUUGGCAGUUCCUCAAGAACUAUUCUGCCCCUGAGUGUUAACCCAAGAGGAAGAAAAGACGUCGACACAGAUGCUGGCAGCCCAUUGUCCACAGCAGCCUGGACCUGGCAGGCUAAACGUGGGAAGCCCCCGCAAACCCAGAGCUCCUGGGGGAGUCCACAAACGUGUGCCCCCAUCACCUGAGGUGACCAGGGCCAACCUCUGUGCGACGCUGGGUGAAAGAACCUGGUCACCAAGGGCCACAGCGUGCAGAAUUCCCAGCGGAGACAGAGAGGGAGUCCGUGGUUCCCCGGAAGUCGUGUGGAAUCUUCCCGGGUGACGAUGAAAUGUCCCGCAAUGAGACAGUGCCGAGGCUUGCGCAGCUAGUGAACACACCAGGAAAGCCAGCGACGUGUGCAUUUUAGAAGGGUGGGCUUCAGCGUUUGUAAACGAUGGAUGUCUUGAGAGAAAUUAAAAGAAGCCAUCAGGCAUCAGUUGGCGGUUAGUGAAUUAGUCAGGGGGAGCUGCAUUUAGGCUGCGAGCUGCCAAUCAAAUGCCCCGUCCCAGAACACCUGCACACCUCCAGCGGCGAGGCAGCGGCUGUGCGGCCCUCGGUGCCUGGCGUGGGUGUCGCAGGUCACCGGCCACUGCGAUGCCCACUGGUGGCUAACAGGACAAGCAACCCAGUGAGGAGGUCACACAGGGUGAGGUGGGCCUGGCCCAGCUCUGCCAGGGUCUAGGACCAAGACAGAGCUGCAGGCCCAGCGCCGGUGUGGCUCCAGCAGGGAGCCUGGUAGGGGGUGUGGGCCAGGAGGCACCCUCAGGGCUUUACUGGAGGAAGGAGGAAGCGUGAGAGCCAUCGGCAGAGGGGUUCACAGCUGCGGGGUCUCGUGGGGAGGCGUCGCUGUGGGUGAGGAGGAGAGGACGAGCGAGGGGGCACCACUGUGUUUGCAGAUUCUGUGUCCAUUGCUGCUUCCCUCUUCCAUCGCUUUUAAGGCCUGGGUGGAGGGGUGAUGCUAGCGGGUGCAGGGGCUGUGACGGGGAGCACGGUCCUGGGCCAGUGUGGGCACGAGGGCCUGAAGCCCCCUGGCCAGCGGUGGGAGAGACAAGAGACGUGGCGCUAAGGAGGGCGAUGCUGCCAAGCCCUGUGUGCAGUUGGCUCCCGGACACUCAGAGUUAAGUCGAUCAGGAUCCAUGAAGGCGCGAGGACGGGGUCGGGCGAGGCGCUGGCCGUCUGGGGACUGAGGGGGUCCCCGGCCGUGCGAAAGCUGAGCGGUGCCCAGAUGAGUCACGCUCAGGGGACACACGGAUGCAGGCUGCAGCGGCCGGGCAGCGAGGGGCCGCGCGUGGGGGUACAGGGAGAGCGUGCUGAGGUCGGGAUCGUCUUUCCCCCAAUUCCCUCACCGCUCGUCCCAGAGCCCCUGCCUCUGCGGAGGGGGGACCCACUGCGUUCCUCAGUGGCCGCUGAGUUCCUGCCCUGCCUCCCCUGCCUCCCUCUGCUCUGCAGAGACCUCUGCUGGCCUCACAUCCUGCCAGGGGCGCGGGAGGCACCGGCGGAGGCUGCCAAGCUCCAUCAGCGUCGCUGCAAAUCCCGAUGCAGGCGGAAGGCUCGGAGCAGCAGUGUUUCGCAGACCGGACUCCGCGUGGGCAAUCUGGGGCUAACCAUGGAAGAACGGAAAUUAAAGCACGUGGCAGCCCUGCCCUUGAAAUAGUCCCGCAUCGUCAAGAAGAGGAGAAACGCUCCGAUGGUCGGUUUCCCAGCGUCCUUCGGGAAAGUGGCUUAGGGAAGUGCCCCGGGAGAGGUCAAGGGGACAGGUGGAGGUGUUUGCCGAACCCAGGAGGGCUCGAGGGUGCACGGCCACCCCGGGCUGCGAUGUGGCUUGUGCCGCUGCGGCUGAGACGGGCACCCGUGGAGGCUGCGAGUGGCACGCGCUGCCCGCUGGCCCCGGUCACAGGUCACAGGGCCGUCUCUGCCUGCCUUAGCACAGAUGCGUAUUAAAUUGACGCUCCCAGGGCCUGGUGCGAUGCUGACUCUCCAGUCUGAGCUCUGCGAUUACGAGUAACAGCACCGUGGAGAGUCACAGGCAAGUUUUUCCCGGAACGUGUUUUCAGUUUUCUCGGGUUCAUGCCUGAGAACAGUGUGGUCGCUGGGUCACACGGUGAUUGCACAUGCGCACGGUACACAUGCACUUUGGGUCUUCGGCGUCUUCAGCUCCUGGGUGGCUCUGGCCUGGACAGCGUCCACCUCUGCCCCCCGCUCCCAGUGUGUCCCACCCUCACCCACACCCACACCCAGAACUCAGGGCCCGCAGCCCGGCCGCGUCUGUGUGCACUGAUGCAUGCAGCUACCCGAGACGCUGCGGGCUCCAUGCGCGUGCAGCCUGCAACGCCGCUCAGGGACAGGGCUGGGACCACAGUUCCUGCUGGCUCCACCGUCCACACAGCAGGAGCGCAGAGGGAGCUGCCGAGGAGUUGGAUCGACUGGCUUCAUCUGACUGCUUCCUGCACCUUUGUGGUUUCAGUCUCUGUGCCUUGGGGGCCGCCCGGUGUCCCUGACACUGGACACUUUGCCGUCUCCGAUGACUCAGUGUGGGGAGAACUGGGGGCGGAGGGAGGAGAUUCCUGGCGAGGUUUCUGGUCGCCCGCGCCCCUGGAACCCGCAGCUUUG